rnacentral:rRNA from 1 species
UACGUAGGGGCCGAGCGUUGUCCGGAGUUAUUGGGCGUAAAGCGCGCGCAGGCGGCCUCGCGCGCCCGACGUGAAAGCUCCCGGCUUAACCGGGGAGGGUCGUUGGGGACGGCGGGGCUUGAGGGCGGGAGAGGUCGGUGGAAUUCCCGGUGUAGUGGUGAAAUGCGUAGAGAUCGGGAGGAACACCUGUGGCGAAGGCGGCCGACUGGGCCGACCCUGACGCUGAGGCGCGAAGGCGUGGGGAGCGAACGGG